UGCAGCCCUAUCCGCAACCCCCUCUAUCAUCGUCUCCCACAAAUCGCCGCCACCGACCAACUCCUAACUCCCACACCUCGGCGCCGGCCCUCCCCUUCCCCUCCUCUUACCUCGCAGCUACGGCAGCUGCCGGAUCCAUCGAAUCCCCCACCGAUCCAUCCCUCUAGCAGCACAUCUCUCUCUCUCGUGUGACCCCUCGUGCCGCGGCCAACGCCGGCCAAUUCCGCCAACGUCCACCACUGCGCAGCAGACUAACGAACUGCUCUCCGACCCCCUCCGUCCGCCAAGAUGGCUGGAUCUGCCGCAACCAGUCACCGGUGCUCGCCCCGCAACACCUCGCCUGUGGCUGGGGUUACAGCCAUGGCGUCGCGUACAUCACGGGCGUGUCUCCGGAGGCGACUCUCCGUCGGAAAAAGCGUCCCCUCACUCCCUCUCCACCUCUUGGAUGGCGCUCCCUAGCUCGGCGCGCUCGCAGGCGUUGGACUGGACGCCGGCGACGCGUCCUCCUCUGUCACGUCUCCGGCGCAGCUAUGCACAUGUGGCGACCUCCUCUGCCUCGGGAAGGCGGUGGCCAACCUUCGCUGCGAGCGCUGCAUCGCCUACAAACCGAGCAGAACAUGGGUGUUCUGGAGCAGAUGCUACUUGGUAGAGCAAGCACAGGCGCCAUGAAAGGGGAAGAAUAAGAGUUCUUGCACAUAACAUGUUUGAUGAAAUACAGGCACCACAAAUUGAACUCAUCUCCAAGCUAUGCUUUAUGAGAGGCUACAGAUUGUUACAUUAUUUUGUCCAGUCCAUGAUGCAAGAUUCAUUCAUUUGUGAUUGUUGCAACAACGAUUAUUGGCCAAAAGCAUGGUUGUGUGUGGUUCCUGCUGCUGUACUGUGGUAUUGGUUUUCUUCCGCCUGCCUGAUGUGGUGAUGCUUUGUUGUGCCUAUUGUUGGCAGAGAUUAACCAAUAUUUGGGAGAUGAGGUGGCUCACCCGAUCGGAAACAGAACAAGAUGAAGGAGCUGAAGUAUAGCCACAACAGGGCGAUCUGGGAGCAAGGAAGUUUACGUGUGAUAGGAGAUGAUCGCCAUAAUCUGGGUGCUAAAGGCCUUUGGAAACAGAACAAGAUGAUGGAGCUUAAGUACAGCCACAUCAGGGCGACCUGGGAGCAAGGAAUUUUACCUGUGAUAGGAGAUGAUCACCAUAAUCUGGGUGCCAAAGGCCUAGGGGAUUAUAACAUGGUUUUUUUUAUAGAAAGGAUGCUCAUGCCGUAGCUUACAGUACCAGGCAACAAUCUUCUGUUGAUUACAGUGCCAAAAACUCCAGUAGGCCGCGGGACUCCUACGCCGCUGGUGCCUGUCAAUGUCGCUGCCGAUGCCCUGCAUCCGAUUGGCUGCCAAGGAAUCCACCAACCCGUCCCAAUACACGUCUGUAUCCCACAUCAUGAGCUCCUCGAAGGUGAGCAGCUGGCCCAGCCUCGCCAUGUAGAACACGGUCUUGGUAGUGGAGAUGUUGUCAUUGUCAUUGCGGUCGAAGGUGUGGAGCAUAGGGCGUGAGCACCGGCAUGAUGGUGUGCGCCAGCUCGUCGAACUCGGAGGCCCGCUGACAUUUGCAUCGAUGGCGAGCAGCAGAAGGACUCCUCACCCGGCGGUCGCAAGCUUAGGGGGGUGGAGCGGGGCAUCGAGCUUGAGAUCUGCUGGCUCCUGUCACGUCAUCACUGACUCAGACCAGAAGAGUUCUGUUGUGUUCGGCGUCGCGCCCUCCACAGCCUGCGAUGGUGAUCACGAUGCCAAUGCAGAACGACGCGCCGACGCCUGUCGCUGCCCUGCAUCCUGCUCCGCGCUGUGACCAGUGCUGCCACCCUGCUCUGUGUUGUGCCCUCGAUAGGCGCCAUCCUUGGACGCCAUCUCUUCCAACCUCUUCUUCCCUUCCGGAUUGAUACCAGCGCCCAGCUUAAAAAAUGAUCCGUGUUGUUGGCACCAUUCCAAACUGAAAUCAAUUACAUACUCAAGGCAGUUCUAGAUGUCUGCAAGUUUGUGAUCUGCAAAUAUUAUAGUCAAAAGGAUUUCAAUUGUGAUAGGCCGUAGCUUCACUUUACAUCCUCAGUUCAGUUCUAGAUCUCUGCAAGUUUGUGAUUUGCAAAUAUUAUAUUAAAAAGGAUUUCAAUUAUGAUAAUCCAUAGAUUUACUAAUCCCACUGUUAUACUAUGUGUGCUCACUGAUGCAUGUGUCUUCAAAUUAUGAUAGGCUCUGUAGCUGGAUCAGGUGAAUCUGUUUUGUCGUGUGAAUACCAGUAAAGUGAAACAGAAGCAGCACACAGGCGCGUCUUCUUGCUUUUUUUUACUUGCCGUAGCUGGAUCAUUAGCUUAAACGCAAAGCAAUCUAGCCUAUUCCUUUCCCCCAUGAUAUCUCUUCUUAAUUUGGUAGAUCAUGUUUUUGCAAGAUGACAGCACCAUAUGUGUAGCUGGAUCAUUAGCUUGAACGCAAAGCAAUCUAGCCUAUUCUUUUCCCCCAUGAUAUCUCUUCUUAAUUUGGUAGAUCGUGUUUUUGCAAGAUGACAACACCAUAUGUGUAGUUGCUGACUGUCUUUAUAUCGCAAAAAUAUUAUGGUUUCAAGCAUCUACCUGUCUCUUAUUAUUAAUGAAGGACCCAGCCUAUUAUUUGAUUUUAAGUUGUUAGAUUCAUCAUAUAGUAUUUAAUAUUGGCAAAUUAAAUUUCGAACGUGACUAUUGAUGUUCUUAGGAAAAAUUUGAAACAUUUGCUGCUGGCAUUUGCCAUUCUAGGAGAGAUUCUAAACUAUUUUAUAUUUGAUUGUAAUAUACAAAAGCCAUAGUGCAGAAUUAAUACGUAAGUAAACAAUAGUCACGUUCCCUUGCUAUAAGAUUACCACGGUGUCCCUUGCUAUAAGAUUACCACGGUGUCGAGGUAUUUUUACCUUUCAUGAGUUAUUACUCGAAACCAGCCCAUCUCACCGUCCCCUCAAAAAAAAAAUCUCCCCGUCUUUUCCUAAUCUACUGCGGACGGUUUUUAUUUUAUACCGGGGGGCGUGCUGCUCGGCGGCGCGGUCUUGACGAUGGCGUGGUCGCUGGGGCAAUUGGGCGGCGUCUGCCUAGGUCUUGGGUGGCGCUGUUGCUGGUGAUCGCGGCGGCGCUCCAGUGCAUGGGUUGGUAUGUGACUGCAUCUCCGCUGUUUGGAUUGAAGUUUGGUUGGGUGUGAGUGCACGGGAGGAGGUGAGCAACCCCAAAUCUAGCGAUUUCCGUUCUAAAAUUCCAAUUAUCUCCCACUUACGUUUCCCUUUGUCAUUCUCUUUCCAAACUGUUUUUUGUGCAUCUGAGCGUUCCGAUCUGCUCGCUCCUGUGCCCCUCGAGGUCCCAAUUUGACUACAAGCCAGUGGAUGGUUCUCCCGAUGGUGGAAUUGAAGGGGCCCCAAUGGAUAAGGAUGUGACAGGCAAGCGGGAGGCCACCACUACCAGCGUCCUCAAGCUCUACCACUAAUCAUUUAUCUAGCACACAUCACCACCUGGGUUAUGUGGGUAUGUCCUAAAAAUAUGUAGUCAACCUUGCCAGCUCAAAUAAUUUUUAUUUGCUUCAAUCCCCAAUCUGGUUCGUAGCAGACAUGCAGUUAGUAGAAUCUUGCCUCCUGGUUGUAGAAUUUUUGGUCGAUUCGUUGGCUGCUUCAUAUUGUUAAACCAUGGAAUAAUUUCUGAUCCUUCGUGGACUGAAUUGUUGGAUUCUUUUCCCCCUUCCUGUCGUUCAUACAUCACCAUUUGUUUCUGAAACCAAGUCAUAUUUGCCGGAUUUCUAAAUUUCAGAGAUUGCAGAUAGUUAUUUCAAGUUUAAAAAUUGGUUGUAAUUUUGGUUCAUCAGUUGUACCAUAUGCAAACACAUAUCUAUGAUUCAUGAAAGUUUUUGUUCUGUCAAUCAGGGUCAUACUCCCUGCAGCUAGUAGCUGCUCUAAACAUUGUUGUAAUGUUACUACUUAAUACUUAAUAAUGAUUGUGGAGGUGCUGCUAACAUUUCCUACUGCAACAACAACAGAGGUAAAAAAUUAUGUGUGGGCUUCAAUGAUGUAAUUGAUUUCUAUUUGCCAUGCGUUAGUGUUUCCUAUCAUCUAGCUUCGGAUUUAAAGUAAAUAUAUAUACUUCCUGUUGGAGUUGAAGUAAGUAUCUCACGUUUGAGCUGCUUGUGUGCCAUUUUUUUUACCUGGGCCCUUAUUUUAAUCUCAGCUGUAGUUAAUGGCAACAAGCACCCACGACGCCCCUAUUUUAUUUACCUGGGCCACUAAUAUUAUUUCAGCUCUAUUUGGUCUUUGGAAAUGGUAUAUCUGGAAAUAAAGAACUAUGCGUGUCAUUCUAUCAUUCUGCAAAUUAGUCAAUUUUGUAGUUUCUUUCUUUUCCUCAGUGAUAUGCCAAUAUGUUUCAGCUCAGCGCAUGGAGUAAUUAGAUGGUCCUUCUCCUGUGAUUUACUAGAUUGUCAGCAAUGAUUCAAAGGUUGCUUAUCCUGAAGUUCAUGAUCCUGCAGGCGAGCAAAGGAUGUGAUAAGCGCAGUUUUGUCUCUGUAGUUUUGUAGACUUCAUUCAUCAUGACGAUUUUAUGGAGUCUGAACAAUGUGUAGCUGCAAUGGAGGUUCCAGGAAGACUUCAAGAUGCUAGGCAUCAACCAUUUUGAGGUCGUUUUAGCAAGACCUAAUGUUUCAGUGCAUAUAGCGCAGUGUAACAUAUCAAGUCAGUUUGUUUCUGUAAUUAUACGGCCUUGUCCAUAUGUUUUACCCCACCAUCAGUAUUUUGCAUGAUGCCCUAGGUAAUUUGUGUUCAGAAAUUUACAUUGUGUAUCUGCAUACUUGGCUGGCAAUAUCAUUACCUGACAGCC